rnacentral:lncRNA from 1 species
AGUUGCUUUAUGACGCCGGGCGCGUGCGCAUUUAAAACAAUUCUCGAAAGAAAUGUUCACAAAUUAGUUUAAAUUCGAAAACGUUUCGGUAUGGACGCAAGAAAAAGGAAUUCUAAGAAAUAGAAAUUCUAAGCGAAACAACAACGAAAAAGGAAAAUAAUUUAAAUAGGGAUAAUAAUAUACAAAAACAUAACAACAAAAACACAACGGUAUUAAGGAAUCUGUUUCAGAAUUUCAGUGAGUUAAAUCUGUUAAAAAGUUCUGCGGUUAAUUUGUUUGUUUCUUUAACAAAAAACGUAAUCUAAUAUUUUAAUUAUUAUCAUCAGCUCAGCAGCAGUGUAGAAUAUAUUGGCCUAAAAUACUAGAUAUUUUAUGUUAAUAUAUUAAAUUCGAGUGACUUACGUCACCCAAGAUUUUGUACAUUUUCAAGCGAGCAUUGGACUGGGUGUUAAUUAUUUCUAUGCCGGUUUGCUGCAAGUAUUUGUUGUCAUUGAUCAAUUAGCUUCCUAGCUUUCAAGCGAACGGUCGUGUUUUUUUUUUUAUCAUGCUCUCCAUUUCCUAUGUCCUGUAG